CAAAACCCUGAACUCCUCAAGUCUACACAAUUACGCAAACAUGUUGCAACUGCGUCACAGGUCCUAAACCUCAAAAACCACGAGUUGGACCAAGUUGCUGACUUUUUGGGCCACGAUAUUCGUGUCCACAGAGAGUAUUACAGGCUUCCAGAAGCUGCAACCCGGCUGGCCAAAAUAUCCAAACUGCUACUUGCCAUGGAGGAAGGUUCACUUACAAAUCUUCAGCGCAAAACACUAGAAGAGAUUGAAAUUGAAGAUAACCUAGACCUGACUGAUUCUGAGCAAAGUGAGGACUCUGAUGAUGAGGAGACAUAUCCACAGACACCAACAGAAAUGGGGAUGAACGGAGCUAGGCGACCUGUUGAGGAACCUCCAGGCACCUCGGACGAUGUUGACUCUGCCUUCGGAGGCUCAUCUCAAGCAGUGAACACACACACUGGUAGGAAGGACAAAGACAAAGAGAGCAGCAGGAGCGAAGAGUGUGAACAACCUGGUAAAAGCACACAAAGAACACUGAUUCUUGAUCUACACAAUUCCCUAGUGCAAAGUUGAAAGUUAAAAUUUAAAGUAAAAAAAAGCUCUUUUUUUUGGUUUCUCUCUCUCUUCAUAUGUCGUUCUCUCAUGGAGGUCUUGCGGGUGGGGUCCCUGAAUGUUAAUGGGAUGUGAGAUGAAAGAAAGAAUAGAC
ensembl:lncRNA